GUGACCUCAAAUCAGGUAGGACUACCCGCUGAACUUAAGCAUAUCAAUAAGCGGAGGAAAAGAAACUAACAAGGAUUCCCCUAGUAACUGCGAGUGAAGCGGGAAAAGCUCAAAUUUAAAAUCUGUCAGUCUUUGGCUGUCCGAGUUGUAAUCUAGAGAAGUGUUAUCCGCGCUGGACCGUGUACAAGUCUCCUGGAAUGGAGCGUCAUAGAGGGUGAGAAUCCCGUCUUUGACACGGACUGCCAGGGCUUUGUGAUGCGCUCUCAAAGAGUCGAGUUGUUUGGGAAUGCAGCUCAAAAUGGGUGGUAAAUUCCAUCUAAAGCUAAAUAUUGGCGAGAGACCGAUAGCGAACAAGUACCGUGAGGGAAAGAUGAAAAGAACUUUGGAAAGAGAGUUAAACAGUACGUGAAAUUGCUGAAAGGGAAACGCUUGAAGUCAGUCGCGUUGUCCAGGGAUCAACCUUGCUUUUGCUUGGUGUACUUUCUGGUCGACGGGUCAGCAUCAAUUUUGACUAUUGGAAAAAGAUUAGGGGAAUGUGGCAUCUUUGGAUGUGUUAUAGCCCUUGGUUGCAUACAAUGGUCGGGAUUGAGGAACUCAGCACGCCGAAAGGCCGGGUUGUUAACCACGUACGUGCUAGGAUGC
rnacentral:rRNA from 1 species